UACGAAGGGUGCAAGCGUUUAAUCGGAAUUACUGGGCGUAAAGCGUGCGUAGGUGGUCUUUUAAGUCCGUUGUGAAAGCCCUGGGCUCAACCUGGGAAUGGCAGUGGAUACUGGAAGGCUGGAGUACGGUAGAGGAGGGUGGAAUUCCCGGUGUAGCGGUGAAAUGCGCAGAUAUCGGGAGGAACACCGGUGGCGAAGGCGCUCUGCUGGACCAUAACUGACACUCAGGGACGAAAAGCUAGGGGGAGCGAAUGGGG
rnacentral:rRNA from 1 species